GAGAGGUAGGUGCAAGGCGACCGGAGCUGGAUAUUACGCGUUCUACUGAUGUCACGUGACCAGCCCACGGUUCUCUGGGUGUAGCGAGCGCAGUGUUAGCCGAUGUUUAUAACCGACUGGACUGCGCACCCCACAGUGUGUAGUAAGCGCAUAGGCUUAGCGGACGAGAGCGGCACCACAUGAAAGAUUUUUCAAAGAUGGGCUUACGGAUACAAGUGACAGUGCUCUGUCUGGUUUUACCGCUAUGUUUGGGAGAAUAUGCAUCGAGGUUCAACAGCUGGAAGAGGUCACCAGGUGGCGUCAGCUCACCAGCAUCGGAUUAUUUACAAAAUGUGAUUGGACAAAAAUACUCAGCCGAUGAGCUCAGAAGAUUGUUGCCAUUAUUUCGACGGAUGAUCGUAGGAGAAAAGUAUGAUGACCUUCAACCAAUGUCCAAAAAAGCCGCUUUCUGGAGGCCUAUGGGGGGCCUACCGAUAGAAUCGCGGCUCUCCACGCUUGCGCAGAUAUCGGCGGAAGGCAAUGAAGCCGGAGACCAGUCCGCUACUUUAUUCCGCUAUGGCUAGGUACCGCCUUCAGAGGAAGCGGAAGGAUACAACACCGUAUAUGGUGGACCUGACCGCGUAGUGCUACAUUGCGGUGAUUCGUCGAAGCAACAUUCAGUGCACCGCCAAUAAUUCUGUAGUUUUUAAGUUCCUCACGUGUUUGUUCGUUUAUCUCUCCACUUCUGUACCUUUAUAACGAUGUUUAUUUUUUAAACAAUCCAGGAUUGAGAAUCACUGUUCCAAGGAUUUUGUCCAAAAUUUUUGUCAGAACAUCCAUGGUGGCUGCCAUUCCUCUCCAGACUAUGACACAAUGAACAUUAUCUUUUAAGACACUGUAGUUCCGAGUUGCAAACAUUACGUGUUACACGAUCUGUCUCACUUGAAUAUUCCAUCGCUAAAAUACCGUGAUAUGUGGACAAUUUCUGUUCUCUAUCAUUAGCGAGAUUAUCAUGACCUUUCUUGUGGCUUCGGUUUUUAAAACAAUUAUUGUGGAAAAUGAGCCACCUGAUCAUCAGUUAUAAAUCAGAACUCACUCUUUCCGGAUCAACACUGCACUGUCCUGGAAUAUUAAACAACUUAGACUCAUGUCAAAAAGAAACUGUGUUAAGAAUCGAUUUUAUUUACCGCAAACGCGAAAUCAUGAUAUGGUUUUAAUAAAAACUGAAUCCAGUUGUUUCUGUUAUAAGCUC